GGGGGACAAAUCAUAUUUUUCCCAUAAUGGGGGGGUCGUGUCCCCCCCGUCCCCCCCGGGAUUUCCGCCCCUGAGUAGUAGUAGUAGUAGUAGUAGCGGUUCUAGACCAUUUCAAUUGGGGGGGCCAAGCUGGGGCCAGUUGUACUGUUAGAGGGACCAGUUACAUUAGACGUUAUUGUUCUUCACUGCAUUGUAGGCAUUAGCAGGCAAAAUACCAUGUUCAUAAUCAUCAUCGUUGCCACUGUCUAAUAACGGAUGUAAAAAAGAACGAUAGCAAAAAUUAGUUAUGUUAAAAUUAUUGUGGCCCCCCCUCCCCCCCUGCGUGACCUGAGCGCGUCUGGUGUGGGUGGACAAAAAAGCACGAGUGCGGAUCGGGUACUGGCUAGAGGCGGAGAGGGUAGUAAGUAGGGCUGCACGCACCAGUAGAUAACAGUAGCCAGAAAAUACUGGGCCGGUACCAAAGGAUACAACCGCCAGGUUGGAUUCGAAUAAAAGGUAGGUAUGAUAACACACUCUAUCAUUCAUCAGUAUUAAUGCCUGACAUGAGAAAAAUGUCACCACCCCAGCUAUAGAAUGAUCUUUACAUUGAAUAAUCUAACGUAUAUGUGUAUGUAUACAUGUAUGUGUGAUUAAAACCAAAGUUAACCCAUGAAACUGGUAUACUUUUGUCUCUAUUCCACUGGAUGGCCGAUGUGAUGAGUUGUCUGUUCUGGCCAACAGUGUAAUCCUCCUCUGCCUGUUUGUGUGAAUACAUCUCACUGUUUCUCUCAGUUGCAAUGAAGGACAUGUGUUUCCGGUGUAAUGACACAAAGUGCCCAGAGGUGACGAAAUGUUUUGAUCAUAAUGAUGACCUGAACCAGAAUCUGCUGAUGGUGCCAGGUCCUUUCCAGCAAUGCACAUCCACCCCCUAUCCUCCUUCUGGGAGGUGCACCAUGUGUAGUCUGGAUUAUUAUUACACUGUGUGCAGAAACGUCUCAGAGAGCUUCCAGCCUGCCCUGGAGGCCAACAGCACAGCCAUUACCAACUAUGAACAAGCCAAUUGCCUUGUCAUCGGCAUCGCACCAACUACUGUGAAUGGUUCAGACUUCACUGGAGCUGCUGCUCAAUAUGGACAUCCUGGGUGGUGGUGUUUACUUAUCCCUGUCCUGGUCGUUGUUUGCAUUGGCAUCAUUACUUACAGGUGUAUCAAGAAGCGCAAAAUAAAAAACUAUGUCAUAUAAGGGUGAGUGUGUUCUCUAUCAGGCUGUAACAACAGACUUGUCUAUAGCUUAUGAUUAUGAUGUCACUGAGGACCUGACCACCAGACAUUCAUAGAUACUGUGAUUAUAAUGUCACUGAGGACCUGACCACCAGACAUUCAUAGAUACUGUGAUUAUAAUGUCACUGAGGACCUGACCACCAGACAUUCAUAGAUACUGUGAUUAUGAUGUCACUGAGGACCUGACCACCAGACAUUCAUAGAUACUGUGAUUAUGAUGUCACUGAGGACCUGACCACCAGACAUUCAUAGAUACUGUGAUUAUAAUGUCACUGAGGACCUGACCACCAGACAUUCAUAGAUACUGUGAUUAUGAUGUCACUGAGGACCUGACCACCAGACAUUCAUAGAUACUGUGAUUAUGAUGUCACUGAGGACCUGACCACCAGACAUUCAUAGAUACUGUGAUUAUGAUGUCACUGAGGACCUGACCACCAGACAUUCAUAGAUACUGUGAUUAUAAUGUCACUGAGGACCUGACCACCAGACAUUUGUAGAUACUGUGAUUAUGAUGUCACUGAGGACCUGACCACCAGACAUUCAUAGAUACUGUGAUUAUGAUGUCACUGAGGGCCUAAACACCAGACAUUUGUAGAUACUGCUUGCUACAUCCUUUUCAUUAUCUCUUCCCUAUCUCUUUCCUUUUUUGGGACAGCACUCAGGACUACCCAUCCCUUAACCAAGCUAUUUGGACCCAACCCCCAGAGAAAGUGACAGGGACAGCACUCAGGACUACCCAAACCCCCAGAUCAGGAUGCUGCUGCGUUAUCUCUGCCUUAAUUCCAUCACUUUAACUCUUCUUCUUAAAGUUGUAAUCUUUUAAUACGUUUUCAUAUUCAUAUUCUUGUAAAUCAGUACCGUUAAACCAGUGCCUUGGAUAAUUUUUGGUCCUCUAAUACUGACACCAGCCGGCUAAAGCCUACUCUUAUUCUUAGGAAUAAGUAUGGAAAUACAAAUGUUUUACCCAUGACGCAUCUACCAGGGUAUUUUGAAUGGGGCAAAAAAGGAAAAUAUGUCCAGUUAUUAAUCAAGCAGAGAUAAGCUUAUUCAAAAGUUGAUGCACUUUAACCCACCAAUGAAUUAUAAUUUACACAUGUUCUAUAACACCCAUUCCACCUUUGAAACUUCAUAUGAGUCUGGUCUGCACAUGGCUGAGGGAGGAAUGUAGUGAUUUAUAAUACAAGUUAUUACCAUCAAGAUGAUGGUACAGGACCCCACUACUGAAAAUCAACCUGGGUUCAUAAAUGAUUUGUGCCAUCCAUCUCCCUAAUGAAAAGGAUUUAUCCUAGCCUUCACCACCACUGUACUGUAUGUAAAAGCAUUAUGUUGUACUGUGCUAUUUGUCUAUGUCAGUACUGUAUUUCUAAUGCUAGUGUUUGUGAAAUGCAGUAAGUCUAUUUACAAGUAUAUUUAUGCUGUAAAGCAGGGUUUCCCAAAGUCAUUUAAAUUGGUUAUUUGAAUCAGCUGUGUAGUGCUAGGGCAAAAAAGAUAUAUGGACCCAGGGUGGGCCCCACAACUGAGUUUGGGAAACCCUGCUGUACAUUAUGAGGCUGUAAUACUCUAUUCUAUACCAGUACUCAAGUGUUGGAGAAAAGCAUCAUGAAAUAUUUACUUCUCUUUCUCAAAUAAAUCUUUAUAUAAAUGAAUUUAUAUUGUGUUGCAUUUAUUGCCACCUUUCUGGUGUCACACAUUUAUCUGGGUAUAUACAUUUUUCAGCAUGUGUGAUACUCUACUUCCAAUGAAACAAUGAGGAUCUAUGAACACCAGUGAAAUGGUUUAUUACACAUUCCCUAGAACAGUGGUUCCCAACCAGGUGUACUAGGACCCCCGGGAUUACUUGGUCUGUCCACAGGGGGUACUUGGUCUGUCCACAGGGAGUACUUGGUCUGUCCACAGGGAGUACUUGGUCUGUCCACAGGGAGUACUUGGUCUGUCCACAGGGGGUACUUGGUCUGUCCACAGGGAGUACUUGGUCUGUCCACAGGGAGUACUUGGUCUGUCCACAGGGGGUACUUGAGAACACACAUGAGAACAUAGGCCUACUGGUAAAAUGCAGAUGAGUGGGUACUUCAGAUGUACUCCGGGCAGAGCAACAUUCAGUUGGUGGUACAGUACCUGAAAAAGGUGGAGAACCACUGCCCUAAAGGACUACAUUUCUCCUUCAUAGACCUGCGUGUCAGGGCAUGGAUUUACAUUAUUCAGUGGUCUGAAUAAUAUGAAUCCAGGUCUGUUGGCCUGGUAAACUUGACUUUUCAAGUGCUUUGCAUCCUCAGACCUGAUACUAAAUGACUAUGAAUGAUGUGACAGAACACAAUAGUUACAGUAACAACAUUAAUGCCAUUUUCUGUAGUAUUAACUAAGUGACUCCAACUUCAACUCAUGAUUGAAAUCGGAUGCUAAGCCACUAAGGGCAGUUUACCAGGCCAACAGACCACAAAUGGCAUGGAAGGUAAGCCACAGCCUUCCCCCUCUGUGAUCCAAAUCCUCAGUGAAUUUCAGAAAUAAAAAAACGGUGAAACAUCUAAAAAGUUAUCCUUUCAAGAUAAAACUAUAUUAAAUAUAUUAGCUUCAGGGGGAAGCUGCUUCCACCAUUGAGGUGCCAGGACAGAGAAGAGCGUUGACUGGGCUGAGCGGGAGCUGCCCUCCUGUAGGGGUGGGAGGGUCAAGAGACCUGAGGUGGCAGAACGGAGUGCUUGGGUUGGGGUGUAAGGUUUGAGCAUAGCCUGAAGGUAGGGAGGGACAGUUCCUCUUGCUGUUCCGUAGGUAAGCACCAUGGUCUUGUAGUGGAUGCGAGCUUUGACUGCAAGCCAAUGGAGAGAGCGGAGGAGCAGGGUGACAUGAGAGAACCUGGGAAGGUUGAAAACCAGGCGUGCAGCAGCGUUCUGGAUAAAUUACAGGGGUUUGAUGGCACAAGCAGGGAGCCCAGCCAACAGCGAGUUGUAGUAGUCUAGAUGGGAGAAGACAAGUGCCUGGAUUAGGACCUGUGCCGCUUCCUGCGUAAGGUGGGGUCGUACUCCACGAAUGAUGUAGAGCAUGCACCUGCAGGAGCGGGUCACUGCUUUGAUGUUUGCAGAGAAUGACAUGGUGUUGUCCAGGGUCACGCCAAGGUUCUUUGCACUCUGGAUGGGCGACACUGUGGAGUUGUCAACCGUGAUGGAGAGGUCUUUGAGCAGGCAGGCCUUCCCCUGGAGGAAGAGCAGUUCCGUCUUGUUGAGCUUGAGGUGGUGGGCCGACAUUCAAGUUGAGAUAUCUGCCAGGCAUACAGAGAUGAGUGUCGCCACCUGGGUGUCAAAAGGGGGAAGGAGAAAAGUAGUUGAGUGUCAUCCGCAUAGCAAUGAUAGGAGAGAUCAUGUGAGGAUAUGACGGACACAAGUGACUUGGUGUAUAAAGAGAAAAGGAGAGGGCCUAGAACCGAGCCCUGGGGGACACCAGUAGUGAGAGUACGUGGUGCAGACACAGAUUCUCUCCACGUCACCUGGUAGGAGCGGCCUGCCAGGUAGGAUGCAAUCCAAGAUCAAUCAAUCAAUCAAAUGUAUUUUUAUAUAGCCCUUCGUACAUCAGCUGAUAUCUCAAAGUGCUGUACAGAAACCCAGCCUAAAACCCCAAACAGCAAGCAAAGCAUGUGAAAGAAGCACGGUGGCUAGGAAAAACUCCCUAGGAAAAACUCCCUAGAAAGGCCAAAAACCUAGGAAGAAACCUAGAGAGGAACCAGGCUAUGAGGGGUGGCCAGUCCUCUUCUGGCUGUGCAGGGUGGAUAUUAUAACAGAACAUGGUCAAGAUGUUAAAAUGUUAAAAUGUUCAUAAAUGACCAGCAUGGUCAAAUAAUAAUAAUCAUAGUAGUUGUCGAGGGUGCAACAAGCACGUCCGGUGAACAGGUCAGGGUUCCAUAGCCGCAGGCAGAACAGUUGAAACUGGAGCAGCAGCACGGCCAGGUGGACUGGGGACAGCAAGGAGUCAUCAUACCAGGUAGUCCUGAGGCAUGGUCCUAGGGCUCAGGUCCUCCGAGAGAAAGACAGAAAGAGAGAAAGAGAGAAUUAGAGAGAGCAUAUUUAAAUUCACACAGGACACCGGAUAAGACAAGAGAAAUACUCCAGAUGUAACAGACUGACCCUAGCCCCCCGACACAUAAACUACUGCAGCAUAAAUACUGGAGGCUGAGACAGGAGGGAUCAGAAGACACUGUGGCCCCAUCCGAUGAUACCCCCGGACAGGGCCAAACAGGCAGGAUAUAACCCCACCCACUUUGCCAAAGCACAGCCCCCACACCACUAGAGGGAUGUCUCCAACCACCAACUUACCGUCCUAAGACAAGGCCGAGUAUAGCCCACAACGAUCUCCGCCAUGGCACAACCCAAGGGGGGGGGGCGCCAACCCAGAGCGGAGUGUGUUGAGUGUGUUGAGCCUGAGAAGCCCAGCCCUGAGAGGGUGGAGAGGAGGAUCUGAUGAUUCACGGUGUCGAAGGCAGCGGAUAGAUCUAAGAAGAUGAAAACAGAGGAGAGAGAGUCAGCUUUGGCAGUGCGGAGAGCCUCCGUGUCCCAGAGAAGAGCAGUCUCGGUCUUGACUCAAAGAGAGAAAAAGACAAUAGUUGAACAGUUUUGACAUUUCUCCAAAAUGGAGAAACAAUAGAGAGAGAGAGAGAGAGAGAGAGAGAGAGCUAGCUACUGUAUAUUUCAUAGUAUAUAUUUUUUUCACUUUCACUUAUUUAGCUAGCUUCGAAUGCAGCUAGCUAGUUUAACCUACUCAAAUUCCCGGCUUAAACAGAGAGGGAUGCUAUAUUAGCUAG
rnacentral:lncRNA from 8 species